AGUGUGAUGGCCGAGUGGUCUAAGGCGUUGGAAUUAGGCUCCAAUUUACGUAAGUAAGCGCAGGUUCGAAUCCUGUUCACACUA
rfam:Hepatospora eriocheir strain GB1 NODE_917, whole genome shotgun sequence.